AUAUGAUUGAAAAUGCAUUUAUAUAUAGUUGACCGGGAAAUAUGAUUGAAAAGCCAUUGAUUUUUGGUUGACCGGGAGAUCAUCGGGUGGUAGACUAACUGCACCGGACACAUCUCAUUUCUGGACUCUUGGGGGGCGAAUACGAUUAGAGAGGAAAAUGCCAGGCGGAGAGGGAAGAAAAGAGAUCACCUGCCGGAGGGACUGAAGCAAGUAAAAAGAUGCUCUUACACAGCAGAUGGGGACAGCCGCCGUCACCCAAUUUACUUUUGCCCAUGCUGUGCAACAGUUGCUGCGCUAUGCGUCAGACCGGGCAGGAUGGACUGUGGACGACAAAGCAGUCAGACGUCAGAGGACCAUGAACUGUAACUAUGCUAAAGAGGACAAAUAAUGAAAUAAGAGGCUAAUAAAAUGAAUUUGUUUUUACCUUAAA